rnacentral:rRNA from 1 species
CGCUGAGUUUGAUCCUGGCUCAGGAUGAACGCUAGCGGCAGGCUUAACACAUGCAAGUCGAGGGGUAUUGGUUUUCGGACCAAGAGACCGGCGCACGGGUGCGUAACGCGUAUGCAAUCUACCUUUUGCAGAGGGAUAGCCCAGAGAAAUUUGGAUUAAUACCUCAUAGUAUGUAGCGUUGGCAUCAACACUACAUUAAAGUCACAACGGUGAAAGAUGAGCAUGCGUCCCAUUAGCUAGAUGGUAAGGUAACGGCUUACCAUGGCGACGAUGGGUAGGGGUCCUGAGAGGGAGAUCCCCCACACUGGGUACUGAGACACGGACCAGACU